CUUUUGCAUGUCCUCUCAUGUAAUCCUUAGAGGAUCCAGUGAAAAAACUCUAACUGGUCCAACUUCACAGAUUAGAAUUCAUGGCUUAGAGAAGUUAAUUUGCUUAUGAUUACAAAGAAAAAUGAAACAGAAGUAAAGCCUAGGGAGUUGGGCACUAAGAGCCCAUUCUCUUUCCAAGUUAACACUCCAUUCCAUUUCUAUCUUCUCCCAUUUUUACCAUCAGAAAAAUGACCUUCACCCAGAAAAUGAGAGAGAAACAUCUGGAAGAAGAAUCUAAUGGAAGAAUUUUAUCAUCUGUAAACUAUGCCCCAACAAGUUGUUUUUUAAAAAAAGAAGGCGACUUGAAAGCCAAGACAGGUGAAGAGGCCUUCCUGUCUGUCAGCAUGCAUUGAGAUGAGAGAAGGCACUAUUCCAAGAAUGCAAGCCAUGGAGGAGUAUCCUCUGGACCUUCUUCUGUUUAGUAAGUAAGACUACUUUUCUUUGUUUUUAAAAAAUUAUUGUAUAUAUUUCUUACUUUUCCUGUUUCUUUAUUGUCUAUUCCUAGGCUACCUCUUUAACUAACAUGUAUAUUAUGCUGUAAACAUGGGUAAAAUGUGUGAUAUUCCUACCCACUCUACUUUAAAUUUCUGUAAUGAGCAACCCAUAAAACACUGUAUGUUAACUAACUGGAAUUAAA
rnacentral:lncRNA from 1 species